GAUGAACGCUGGCGGCGUGCUUAACACAUGCAAGUCGAACGAUGAAGCCCAGCUUGCUGGGUGGAUUAGUGGCGAACGGGUGAGUAACACGUGAGUAACCUGCCCUUAACUCUGGGAUAAGCCUGGGAAACUGGGUCUAAUACCUGAUAGGAGCGUCCACCGCAUGGUGGGUGUUGGAAAGAUUUAUCGGUUUUGGAUGGACUCGCGGCCUAUCAGCUUGUUGGUGAGGUAAUGGCUCACCAAGGCGACGACGGGUAGCCGGCCUGAGAGGGUGACCGGCCACACUGGGACUGAGACACGGCCCAGACUCCUACGGGAGGCAGCAGUGGGGAAUAUUGCACAAUGGGCGAAAGCCUGAUGCAGCGACGCCGCGUGAGGGAUGACGGCCUUCGGGUUGUAAACCUCUUUCAGUAGGGAAGAAGCGAAAGUGACGGUACCUGCAGAAGAAGCACCGGCUAACUACGUG
rnacentral:rRNA from 1 species